rnacentral:rRNA from 1 species
GGGGGCCCGCAAGCGGUGGAACAUGUGGUUCAAUUCGACGCAACGCGAAGAACCUUACCUGGGCUUGAACUGCACCGGACAAAGGUAGAAAUACCUCUCCCGCAAGGGCUGGUGUAGAGGUGCUGCAUGGCUGUCGUCAGCUCGUGCCGUGAGGUGUUGGGUUAAGUCCCGCAACGAGCGCAACCCUUACCCUUAGUUGCCACCCGCAAGGGGGAACUCUAAGGGGACUGCUCCGGAUAACGGAGAGGAAGGUGGGGAUGAGGUCAAGUCAGCAUGGCCUUUAUGUCCAGGGCUACACACGUGCUACAAUGGACGGUACAAAGCGCUGCUAACCCGCAAGGGGGAGCCAAUCGCAAAAAACCGUUCUCAGUUCGGAUCGCAGGCUGCAACCCGCCUGCGUGAAGCUGGAAUCGCUAGUAAUGGCGUAUCAGAACGACGCCGUGAAUACGUUCCCGGGCCUUGUACACACC